UGGCCUAGCCUUACAAGAGACAG
rnacentral:piRNA from 1 species